GCUUCUUUUUCCACCGGAGCUUGCUCCACCGGAAAAGGAGGAGUGGCGAACGGGUGAGUAACACGUGGGUAACCUGCCCAUCAGAAGGGGAUAACACUUGGAAACAGGUGCUAAUACCGUAUAACAAUCGAAACCGCAUGGUUUUGAUUUGAAAGGCGCUUUCGGGUGUCGCUGAUGGAUGGACCCGCGGUGCAUUAGCUAGUUGGUGAGGUAACGGCUCACCAAGGCCACGAUGCAUAGCCGACCUGAGAGGGUGAUCGGCCACAUUGGGACUGAGACACGGCCCAAACUCCUACGGGAGGCAGCAGUAGGGAAUCUUCGGCAAUGGACGAAAGUCUGACCGAGCAACGCCGCGUGAGUGAAGAAGGUUUUCGGAUCGUAAAACUCUGUUGUUAGAGAAGAACAAGGAUGAGAGUAACUGUUCAUCCCUUGACGGUAUCUAACCAGAAAGCCACGGCUAACUACGUGCCAGCAGCCGCGAUAAUACGUAGGUGGCAAGCGUUGUCCGGAUUUAUUGGGCGUAAAGCGAGCGCAGGCGGUUUCUUAAGUCUGAUGUGAAAGCCCCCGGCUCAACCGGGGAGGGUCAUUGGAAACUGGGAGACUUGAGUGCAGAAGAGGAGAGUGGAAUUCCAUGUGUAGCGGUGAAAUGCGUAGAUAUAUGGAGGAACACCAGUGGCGAAGGCGGCUCUCUGGUCUGUAACUGACGCUGAGGCUCGAAAGCGUGGGGAGCAAACAGGAUUAGAUACCCUGGUAGU
rnacentral:rRNA from 1 species